rnacentral:misc_RNA from 1 species
UCCGGUUUGUCACCGGCAGUCACCUUAGAGUGCCCAACUGAAUGCUGGCAACUAAGAUCAAGGGUUGCGCUCGUUGCGGGACUUAACCCAACAUCUCACGACACGAGCUGACGACAACCAUGCACCACCUGUCACCGCUGUCCCCGAAGGGAAAGGCGUAUCUCUACACCGUCCUGCCAUGUCAAGGGCUGGUAAGGUUCUGCGCGUUGCUUCGAAUUAAACCACAUGCUCCACCGCUUGUGCGGGCCCCCGUCAAUUCCUUUGAGUUUCAGCCUUGCGGCCGUACUCCCCAGGCGGGGCACUUAACGCGUUAGCUGCGGCACCGAAGGGGUCGUUCCCCCCGGCACCUAGUGCCCAUCGUUUACGGCGUGGACUAC